rnacentral:snRNA from 1 species
AGAUGGGACAGUGACCUGGCUACACCGGCCUGUGCCACCCCACUCACUGAUCUCUAAGGUUGCUUCUGCAGAAGCAUCUGGCGAGGCAAGUGCCUCCCUCCUUCACCAUUCUGCACGCAUCCCAGCGCAAGCCCUGGGCUCGGGCAGAGAGGACGCGCUUCCCUGACACAGGAGCAAGUUCCUUAUCAAGGACACAUGAGGAGCUACAAGGCCACGCUAGCACCUCCAAUCAUCAGAUGAAUAAAGAGAAUGUAAUACAUGGUUUUUUUAAAUUUAGAUAUAAUGAAGAAUUAGAUCGUGCCAUUU